rnacentral:rRNA from 1 species
UACGUAGGGGGCAAGCGUUGUCCGGAUUUAUUGGGCGUAAAGAGCGUGUAGGCGACUAGGUAGGUCCGUUGUGAAAACUCGAGGCUCAACCUCGAGACGUCGAUGGAAACCAUCUAGCUAGAGUCCGGAAGAGGAGAGUGGAAUUCCUGGUGUAGCGGUGAAAUGCGCAGAUAUCAGGAAGAACACCCGUGGCGAAGGCGGCUCUCUAGUACGGUGCUGACGCUGAGGUGCGAAAGCGUGGGGAGCAAACAGG